rnacentral:piRNA from 1 species
AGGGGAACUUGGACAGUUGGGUCAG